AACCAUAGAAACCUGCGGAGUACCUGCGGAAGGAUCAUUACAGAGAUUGAUGCACCAAGUGCAUCACCUCCAACCCCUUGCGAAAACAACUAUCAUGUGUUGCUUUGGCAGUGUUUCCACUGCCAGAGGUUUACAUAAAAUCAGCUGUUGGAUGUUGUCUGAGUAAACUAUAUGAAUUAUUUAAAACUUUCAGCAACGGAUCU
rnacentral:misc_RNA from 1 species